GACACUCCAUGACUUAAAGUCAAUCCUGUAAUCAGAAAAUAACGAGGACAUUAAGUUUUUCUCUGCCACACAGUGUCACGACAUAUAGCGUAUACUGAAGGAUUAUAAAAUCAACAACAUCGAGAUCCUUUCUUUUUCUAUUUAAAAACAUAUUGAAAAUAAACAAUAGUCUAACAAUUUUCUUAUUCCUUCUGCUAUCGAGUUUUCAGUGGAUUUUUUAGGAUAUAUUUCUAACCAUUUUAAGAUAUAAAAUGAUACGUAUUAAGAUAAAUAAUAUCUGUUUUUCUUUCAUUUAGAUACAAUUUACAAAAGUAACAAAUUUCAGUCAAAAUAAGCAUUGAUAUGUUUUAUGAUAAUUUAGAUAUUUAUUUCUAAUAUGCUUUAUUACUUUUGAUUCGACAAGUCCUUAUAUUCAUAGGUUUACAAAAAAGUUUCAUAUCUUAUUUUUAUUAUAAAUGUCUAAAAUAUUAACUUUAAAUUCAACAAAAAAAGAAAUUGCACAUUCUUGCUUCUUUCGUUAAGUAUAUAACAGAGACAUAAAUAAAUAUGUGAUAUAAUAUCUAGGACAAAUAUCAGAAGAAGAAUAUCAGGAAGCUAGAAAUAAACAUUUAAAAUAAUUUAGAAGACAUCAUACUCGCAAAA